GCGGAUUCUAGAAUGAUAGAGCCCGCGGCUUGGUGAUCCGGGGACCCUCGGCCUCUGGGCCGUCGAGAGGGGCCCCGAGAGGAAAGCGCCAGAGAGCUAGGAGUGUUAAAUAGCUGCAGAAGAGAAAGAAAACAUCGUGGAUGGCGGUGGAGCCCAUGGUAGGCAGGAAUAAUGUGAAGAAGGCAUUACUUUGUGUCUUCGAGCAUCUGCUGUUGCUGCUAAGAAGUCGGCCCCAGCACAAAAGGCUUUUCUUUCAAGUGAAAAUAAGGAGUGCUGAUACCUGAAGAAGAUUUCAAAUCCUGCAACUUUGGUGAAGUUUCUAGAAGCAUAGUCAUCUGGAGUAAGCCAAAGUAAAGGAUAGAUUCUUGCACCUUGAUGUUCCCACUAUGAAGAAGAAAACAUCCCACCUCCUGGACCUCUUCAGAUUCUGGAAGCAUCCUAUUCCACAACAGGGGACAUUGCUCCAAUUGGCUGCCAUGUGUUUAGGAAAAUCCUUAAGCAGACAUGUCUUAAAGAAGUGUUCUAAUAGGAUUAUCCAUGUCUACCGUGUUGACUGUCCAUGUUUUCAUUAAAAUGGUCUGAAGAACCCUUGUAAAGAUUACAGGUAAACUCAAGGAAAGGAAACGCCUCAGAAGAAAUCCGAAAUGAAAAAUGACCCUCAGUCCCCGUGGCCCGCCGGUGCCCGAUUCCCCACCCAUCCUGUCUCCACAUCAAAGAGCAAAGGGGAUAGGCAACAGACCGUGGGAUCCUUUGUUUACCCACGGGGAUGAAGACUGCAGAUCCUUCCAUCCAGCUCCAAAUGCGCGCGCUCCAGUAACCCGUGUGGGAAUCGAGGGAUUACAGUAUUAUCCCGCUAUUGUUUUCUGCACUACAUCCACUUCAAUCUUCAGGAAAAUUAGAACAGAAACAGGCCCGGGAGAUUAUGAACAGGCUGCUGCCCCUGAUGUCUGCCCUUCUCCUGAUGUAUACACCCAGGAGGCAGGAUUGUUUCUUCAGCUUCUAUCAAAAACCCUCUGUGAAUGUGGAAAAUAAUAACAAUAAUAAUAAUAAUAAUGAGUGGAGGUGAAAUCACCCAGGAGGCAAUGACUCUUUCCUCUCCCGGAGGAACAGAUCUUGGCCAAGCAGACGUAAAAAUACACAGUCUCCGCCGUAGUUGGAGAGUGGAAAGCCAACAGGCAGAGCGCACGGGCUUUGGAAAUGCCCAUGGUGAAUGGGGAGCAAUAAAGAAUAUGAACCCGGCAGCUCAGACUGAAUCCAAAUUUCGGGAGGAAGGCAGGAACGGAGUGCUCUGCUCCCCCAUGCUGAGCUUCCCUAGGACGGACGCAGACUUUAUUUUCCAUCUGGCACAGGAAGAGCCUGGACCUACCCCAGCUAGAUCAUUCCAAGAGCACUCCAAGUGUUGUGUCCACAGGGCCCACUUUGCUCUGAACUGCGUGACCCGAGGCCAGCUGUCAAAGGCUGAGCUUCAUCGGGUAGCACGAGGCCAUCAAGGUCAGAUAUAAAAGCAAGCUGGCCGGGCUCCUAGGGUUACAAUAACGUCAGGCAAGUUCGGCUCACUUUUUCCACCCCUAAGCCAGGGGCUGGCCUGUCAUGGUGAUACGGUAAUAUUAAUAACUACAGGGACAACCAACACCUUUCAGGGAAGGGUUUCAAAACGCUUUCCAAGGAAAGGCCGGUUAUUAAUUCCCCACACGACAGAUAAGAAAACUCAAGCAGAGAGCAGGAAAAUGAUUAGAGCCAGAGCGCGCAUGUGAGCUGAAGGCAAGAACCGCAGCCCGCCGUCCCCAGAUCAGGUUCUGGUCCUCGGGGGUACUAUCUGAGUGCUCGGGGGCCCACUUUGCAAAUAUACUGACUGCUCUGUUCUCAGGAGCCCGGAGGUUGGGUGAGCCCUGCUCACUGUAUUGCUGUAAAGCCUUCCUAGUCCAUUAACAUACCUCCCAUUCAAACACAGUCAGGGCUGGUCUAUACUGUUCAUUUCCCUUCCUUAGAAAUCUGCUGCGUAUACAAAAUAAGGACCAAAACAAAAUACAGAAUUAAGAAAGCGGACAGAAACAUUUACUUCUCCCAAUAACAUUUAUGUAUCCACAAAGAUACCCUCUUCCCAAAGGUCCGAACUCUCAUGUUUCCUGGAGUCCUUCCAACCAGUAACUAAAAUUUCAUUGGCUUGGGACUUGCCAUUUAAAGUAGGAUCAAGCUUUCAGACUUUUCUAUCAGAUUUAUCAGAUACUAUCAUUCUUCUCCAUUUAUGGUCUAAGAUGAUUCUGGAAUCGCAAAGAUACCUGGGCCAUCUUUUUAAGCAACUGACACGCAGUGACUAAGCAUCACUAAUCGUAGCAGAGGCUGCAUGACCUUGUGAUUGGGCACAGGGACGUUGGGACAAAGCUUCACUCUUAAUGAACUAUGGGACGCUGGCAAGGUCCCUAACUUCUCUACCCAGCUUUCUCAUCUGUAGAAUGGCCGUGAGAAGGUGCCUGCUCCCUAAGGCUAUAGAGAGAAUGAAUGAGCCAGCAUAAGCAGAGGGCGUAGAACAGACCUGCCGGUAGGAUGCACCUUGCACGAGGGUAAGUCCUACCCUGAGCGUUCAUUUUCUAGUAGGAAAGAGAAGUUCUAGGCAAUGAUCCUUGCCAUAGGGAACACUACAAAACGGAAUCCGUGGAAAACAAAGCAUGCAUUUGGCACAGUGUUUGGCUGAAUGACAAUAGGUCACUAAGACCGUUAAGCAGAGUAGU